ACCGAAAAAUUCAAACCGAGUCAAUUUUUUGGUUCAUAAAUAAUAGAAAAAACUUCAAAAACCUUCCUUAUGGUUUCGCACGUUCUCACUUUAGUAUCAUGUGAUUUAAAGUGUAUCAAUUUGGUGCCUUGUGGUUUUAUUUUUAUCUUUUCGGCAGUUUUUUCGUUAAUAUUUUGUUAAAUUAUAUAAAAAAAAAUUUCAGAUAUCCAUCUAAGUUUAUCGAAUAUUCACUUUAGUAUUCUUUAAUUUUAACUUUGUCACUGAUUUUAAAAAAAUAAUAAUAAAAUUGAUAAUAAAAAGAGAAAAAUAAAACCACAGGGCACAAAACUGAUAAACUUUGAAUCACAGGGUACUAAAGUGAAAAUAUGCAAAACAACACGAAUUUUUUGAAGUUUUUCAUAAAUAAUAUGAAAAAAAAUUUA
rnacentral:lncRNA from 1 species